rnacentral:misc_RNA from 1 species
CAGGCUGAAAAGGAGGAGGUGGAUGCACGAUCCAUAUACGUCGGUAAUGUAGAUUAUGCCUGCACACCUGAAGAAGUUCAGCAGCAUUUCCAGUCCUGUGGCACUGUUAACAGGGUAACUAUCCUGACAGACAAGUUUGGCCAGCCCAAAGGUUAUGCCUAUGUCGAAUUCGUUGAAGUGGAGGCUGUCCAAAACGCACUUCUAUUGAACGAAUCAGAGCUUCAUGGGCGGCGGUUGAAGGUAUCUGCCAAGCGGACAAAUGUUCCUGGUAUGAAGCAAUUUCGAGGAAGGCGAUUUAAUCCUUAUGCAGGAUACCGCCCUCGACGUGCGUUCGUGCCUGGUGCUCCAGUCUUUCCUCCUUUUGGAAGGGUUCCAAGGUUCAGACGCCCCAUCCGCUACAGACCAUACUAGUGGAUUUUAAGCUAGAUUGCUGGCCUUCCCGAGAGAAGCAUGGUGCUCGCUUUGUGAAAAAGACGUCUCCUUGUUUUACUCUCUUUGGUUACCUUGGGGAGGGCAAAGGAUGUUAUAAUUCAAAUUUCUUGUACCAUUUAAGUCAUGAGCUGACAUAAAUUUCAGCUCUGUGGAUGAUAUUUUAGGUUUGUGGGGAUAGAGAAGUUGUUUCUGUUGCUGGCUUGCUCAGGUGCUCGCAUUUUGGGCAGCAAAAGGAAACAAAAUAGAUAUUUGGUGUAGAUGGUUAUAUUCUCUUCGAACUAUGUCCUCUGAUUUGAUGGGGAAAGAAAAGGUGUGUUUUUAGUUUGAUGUUUGUAUAAUGUGGUUUGGUCACUCUUAAGCUCCUCUCUCCUAAACCUCCUUGUCCCCAACUUCAAAUCCUAGUGGCUACACA